rnacentral:rRNA from 1 species
AUUGAACGCUGGCGGCAGGCUUAACACAUGCAAGUCGAGCGGAGAGAGGUAGCUUGCUACUGAUCUUAGCGGCGGACGGGUGAGUAAUGCUUAGGAAUCUGCCUAUUAGUGGGGGACAACAUUUCGAAAGGAAUGCUAAUACCGCAUACGUCCUACGGGAGAAAGCAGGGGAUCUUCGGACCUUGCGCUAAUAGAUGAGCCUAAGUCGGAUUAGCUAGUUGGUGGGGUAAAGGCCUACCAAGGCGACGAUCUGUAGCGGGUCUGAGAGGAUGAUCCGCCACACUGGGACUGAGACACGGCCCAGACUCCUACGGGAGGCAGCAGUGGGGAAUAUUGGACAAUGGGCGGAAGCCUGAUCCAGCCAUGCCGCGUGUGUGAAGAAGGCCUUAUGGUUGUAAAGCACUUUAAGCGAGGAGGAGGCUACUUUAGUUAAUACCUAGAGAUAGUGGACGUUACUCGCAGAAUAAGCACCGGCUAACUCUGUGCCAGCAGCCGCCGCGGUAA